CAGAUUGCAGUUCUUUGAAUAUGAAUCAGUGAUAUUUUACUGUGAGGAUGCUGUUUAUUGGGAAGUUGUGCAUAAUUCCAAAGGGAAAAUAAACUCAUGCAGUCACAACAACCAGGGAAAAGCAGGAUCAUUGUGCAUAAUAAAAAGUGUGUAUCCAGAUGACAGUGGAGAGCGCUGGUGUGAGACUAAAGGAGCAAACAGAAGCGACAGCAUCAACAUUACUGUUACUGCUGGAUCUGUGAUCCUGGAGAGUCCUGCUGUUCCUGUGAUGCAGGGUGAAGCUGUGACUCUUCGCUGCAGAAACAAAAAUGCUUCCUCCGACUUCACCUCUAAUUUUUAUAAAGAUGGAGUUCAUGUUCACAGCAGCUCCACAGGAGACAUGAUAAUCCACAGAGUUUCAAAGUCAGAUGAGGGACUUUACACGUGCAACAUCUCAGGAGGUGGACAGUCACCGGAGAGCUGGCUCAGUGUCACAGAAAGUCACAAAGAGACGUCAUGUGCCACAUCUUGGAUCAUUGCCACUAUUUCAUUGAGUGCUCUGUUGUUGGUGGUGGGACUGCAUCACUUUGGUAAAUGUCGCCAGG